AAACCGAGGGUGCAAGCGUUAAUCGGAUUGAUUGGGCGUAAAGGGCGCGUAGGCGGUAAGAUAAGUUGGAUGUGAAAUACUUGGGCUUAACCUGAGAACUGCAUCCAAAACUAUCUUACUAGAGUACAGAAGAGGGAAGUGAAAUUUCCAGUGUAGCGGUGAAAUGCGUAGAUAUUGGAAGGAACACCAGUGGCGAAGGCGACUUCCUGGUCUGAAACUGACGCUGAGGCGCGAAAGCAUGGGGAGCAAACAGGAUUAGAUACCCGAGUAGUCC
rnacentral:rRNA from 1 species